UUUUCUGAAACAGUUUGUUUAGGGUUGGUAUCAUUUCUACCUAAAAUGUUAAAUUUGGGGGCAGCCCGGGUGGCUCAGCAGUUUAGCACGGACUUAGGCCCAGGUUGUGAUUCUGGGGACCCGGGAUCGAGUCCCACAUUAGGCUCCCUACACAGAGCCUGCUUCUCCCUCUGUCUGUGUGUGUGUGUGUGUGUGUGUCUCAUGAAUAAAUAAAAUCUUUAAAAAAAUAAAAAAUAAUAAAAAAUAAAAUAAAAUGCUAUAUUUGUCAGUGAAACCAUCUGGGCCUGGAGUUUUCUUUGUGGAACAGCUUUUAGUUACAAAUUCCAUUUCUUUAGCGGAUAUAGGGCUAUUAUAGUUUCCUAUUAUUCCUUGAAUAACUUUUGUUAAUUUGUCUAUUUCCAAGAAUUUUCCAUUUCACCUAGGUUGCAAAGUUCAUAGGCAUAAAAUGUAUAAUAUUCCCUUUUUAUCCUUUUAAUGUUUAUGGGAUCUAUAGUGAUACACUCUCUUUUGUUCUUCAUAUUGGUAACUGGUAUCUCUAUUCUUUUUUCUAAAUCAGCCUGUCAGCUUAGUGUCCCUCUCUCUUCAAUAUAUAAGCUUUCAUUCUCAUUGAUUUCCUGUAUUGUUUUCCUAGUCCCAUUUUACUAUUUAUACUUCUAUCCAUUAUUCUUUACCCAUAUAUAUAUAGAAAAUUAUUACUGCAAUAAGUUCAGUGACUAUCCAUCAUCUAACAGUUACAAUUAUUUUUUCUAAUACUAAGAACUUUUAAGAUUUACUCUUAGCAACUUUCAAAUAUACAACACAGUACUGUUAACUAGUCACCACACUGUCCAUUAUAUCCCCAGAAUUUAUUUUUCUUAUAACACGAAGUUUGUAUCUUUUGACUAUCCUCACCCAUUUUCCUCAGUCUCCAUCCCUGCCUCUAGCAACCUCCAAUGUGUUCUGUUUCUAUGAACCUGUUUUUUCUUUUCCACUAUCACACAGUAUUCUUCUUUAUCUGCAUGACUUAUUUCACAUAGCAGAAUGCCCUCAAGGUCCAACCAUGUAGCAAAUGAUAAGAUUUCCUUCUUUUUUAUAGCUGAAUAAUAUUCCAUUGUACAUAUAACACCACAUUUUUUUAAUCCAUUCAUUUGCUGAUGGAAACUUUGGUUGUUUCCAUGUCUUGGCUAUUAUAAAUAAUGCUGUAAUGAACUUGGGGAUGAAGGUAUCUCAUUGUCAAUACUGAUUUCAUUUCCUCCAUGUAUAUCCCAUAAGUGGAAUUGCUGGAUCACUUGGUAGUUUUAUUUUCAAUUUUUGAAGACCCUCCACACUAUUUUCCAUAGUGGCUGCAUCAAUUUACAUUCCUACUAAUAGUGCACCAGAGUUCCCUUUUCUCCACAUCCUCAUCAACACUUAUCCCUUGUCUUUCUGAUAAUGAUCAUUUUUUAAGAUUUUAUUAAGUUUUUAAGUAAUAUCUACACUCAACAUGGAACCUGAACUCACAACCCUAGGAUGAAGGGACAUGCUGCAAUGACUGAGCCAACCAGGCACCCCUAUAAUGACCAUUCUAACAGGUAUGAGGUGAUAUUUCAUUGUACUUUUGAUUUGCAUUUCUCUGAUAAUUAGUGAUGUUGAGUACUUUUUCAUGUACCUCUUGGUUAUUUGUAGAACUUCUCUGGAAAAUAUCUAUUCAGUUCCUCUCACCUUUUUUUUAAAGACUGUAUGUAUGUUUAUAUUUAUGUAUUUAUUUGACAGAGAGUGAGUAAAAGCAGAAAGAGCAGUAGAGGGAGAGGGAGAAGCAGACUCCCCACUGAGCAGGGAGCCCAGUGCAGGGCUUGACCCCAGGACCCCAAUAUCAUAACCUAAGCUGAAGGC
rnacentral:lncRNA from 1 species